AGCUCCAAUAGCGUAUAUUAAAGUUGUUGCAGUUAAAAAGCUCGUAGUUGGACUUCUGGCGGUGUAGCGCGGUCCACCUCGCGGUGAGCACUGCGUCGCGUCGCCAUCCUCUCGGAGUUGUGCGGUGCCAUUAACUUGGUGCUGUAUGAACCCGAGACCUUUACUUUGAAAAAAUUAGAGUGUUCAAAGCAGGCCUACGCUUGAAUACAUUAGCAUGGAAUAAUGGAAUAGGACUUUGGUUCUAUUUUGUUGGUUUCUAGGACCGAAGUAAUGAUUAAUAGGGACAGUUGGGGGCAUUCGUAUUUAAUUGUCAGAGGUGAAAUUCUUGGAUUUAUGAAAGACGAACUACUGCGAAAGCAUUUGCCAAGGAUGUUUUCAUUA
rnacentral:rRNA from 1 species